UCUCUGAAGCUACUAAUAUUUUUCUUGUACUGUAGAUUUUAUGAAGUUAUAAAUAUCCCCUUGUACUUGAAUAUAAUUUCUCCACAAUUUGUUUUGACGAAACUCAGUUUAUUUGUACUAAAAUUUACCUUGUUUCUGAAAAUUCAUAGGAAGGAGCUAAAAAGUAGAAGCUAUUGCGAUAAGCUGCAAGCUUCAGUCAACUCCUAAUUCCUGGCCACUAUGUGCCCGUCGGCAAAGGAUUUGAGAUAGCGCUGCACCGAAGUACCAGACACAUACAAAUCGAUUAUGUUGGUACUAAAAUUUGGCGAAGGAUAAGCAAAUUAAAUUUACGGGUACUUCAGUUGGCAUAUCGGCUCAGUCUAGAAUAAUAGAUGACGUGGUGAAGCAUAAUCACUUCUUUUGCAGCUCAAAUAUCUGGUUUCAUCAUGUAAACUAGAGGUUCUAGCAGUAGAACACCAAUGAUCUAUAGCGUAUGUACUGCUGCCCAAAGGCUAAGACAAACAUAUAUCCAUUACUUCUUUUUAUCAUUUAUCAUUUAUCAUUUAAUCUUGAGUCUUGCAAAAUAUACACAUCAUACUGUUUUUGCAAUAAGAAAUAUGUGUUCUACUCUUAUCUUC